CAGAGUUGGGGGCGUGACAAAUACAUGCAAGUCGAGCGGACAGAUGGGAGCUUGCUCCCUGAUGUUAGCGGCGGACGGGUGAGUAACACGUGGGUAACCUGCCUGUAAGACUGGGAUAACUCCGGGAAACCGGGGCUAAUACCGGAUGGUUGUUUGAACCGCAUGGUUCAAACAUAAAAGGUGGCUUCGGCUACCACUUACAGAUGGACCCGCGGCGCAUUAGCUAGUUGGUGAGGUAACGGCUCACCAAGGCAACGAUGCGUAGCCGACCUGAGAGGGUGAUCGGCCACACUGGGACUGAGACACGGCCCAGACUCCUACGGGAGGCAGCAGUAGGGAAUCUUCCGCAAUGGACGAAAGUCUGACGGAGCAACGCCGCGUGAGUGAUGAAGGUUUUCGGAUCGUAAAGCUCUGUUGUUAGGGAAGAACAAGUACCGUUCGAAUAGGGCGGUACCUUGACGGUACCUAACCAGAAAGCCACGGCUAACUACGUGCCAGCAGCCGCGGUAAUACGUAGGUGGCAAGCGUUGUCCGGAAUUAUUGGGCGUAAAGGGCUCGCAGGCGGUUUCUUAAGUCUGAUGUGAAAGCCCCCGGCUCAACCGGGGAGGGUCAUUGGAAACUGGGGAACUUGAGUGCAGAAGAGGAGAGUGGAAUUCCACGUGUAGCGGUGAAAUGCGUAGAGAUGUGGAGGAACACCAGUGGCGAAGGCGACUCUCUGGUCUGUAACUGACGCUGAGGAGCGAAAGCGUGGGGAGCGAACAGGAUUAGAUACCCUGGUAGUCCACGCCGUAAACGAUGAGUGCUAAGUGUUAGGGGUUUCCGCCCCUAGUGCUGCAGCUAACGCAUUAAGCACUCCGCUGGGAGUACCGUCGCAGGACUGAAACUCAAGUAUUGACGGAGUCCGCACAGCCGAUGGAAGCAUGUUGAUUUAAAUGUUCCGAAC
rnacentral:rRNA from 1 species